GCAACUAUACAGUGAAACUGCGAAUGGCUCAUUAAAUCAGUUAUCGUUUAUUUGAUAGUACCUUACUACUUGGAUAACCGUGGUAAUUCUAGAGCUAAUACAUGCUAAAAAUCCCGACCCCUGGAAGGGAUGUAUUUAUUAGAUAAAAAACCAAUGCCUUCGGGCUCCUUGGUGAUUCAUGAUAACUUAACGAAUCGCAUGGCCUUGCGCCGGCGAUGGUUCAUUCAAAUUUCUGCCCUAUCAAGUUUCGAUGGUAGGAUAGUGGCCUACCAUGCUUUCAACGGGUAACGGGGAAUUAGGGUUCUAUUCCGGAGAGGGAGCCUGAGAAACGGCUACCACAUCCAAGGAAGGCAGCAGGCGCGCAAAUUACCCAAUCCCGACACGGGGAGGUAGUGACAAUAAAUACUGAUACAGGGCGCUUUCGCGUCUUGUAAUUGGAAUGAGUACGAUCUAAAAACUCUAACGAGGAACAAUUGGAGGGCAAGUCUGGUGCCAGCAGCCGCGGUAAUUCCAGCUCCAAUAGCGUAUAUUAAAGUUGUUGCAGUUAAAAAGCUCGUAGUUGAACCUUGGGCCGGGGUGGCGGGUCCGCCUCACCGCGUGCACUCGUCCGCCCUGGCCUUUCCUUCUGGCGAGCCCCAUGCCCUUCACUGGGUGUGGCGGGGAACCAGGACUUUUACUUUGAAAAAAUUAGAGUGUUCAAAGCAGGCAUAUGCUCGAAUACAUUAGCAUGGAAUAAUAGAAUAGGACGUGUGGUUCUAUUUUGUUGGUUUCUAGGACCACCGUAAUGAUUAAUAGGGAUAGUCGGGGGCAUCCGUAUUCAACUGUCAGAGGUGAAAUUCUUGGAUUUGUUGAAGACGAACUACUGCGAAAGCAUUUGCCAAGGAUGUUUUCAUUAAUCAGGAACGAAAGUUGAGGGAUCGAAGACGAUCAGAUACCGUCGUAGUCUCAACCAUAAACUAUGCCGACUAGGGAUCGGGCGAUGUUCUUAUUUUGACCCGCUCGGAACCUUACGAGAAAUC
rnacentral:rRNA from 1 species